AAACGUCGAUCCUAAAUGGACUGCUUUCGGUUACUUGUUAGAGGUUACGUGAUUCGAUCAAGAGAAAUCGCAACAACGAAGCUUCAAAAUCAGAAAAGUUGGAAACAAAAGUCUUGGUUUUGGGUGUUUAGGCUCCAUGCAAGAGAAGAACGGAUUGAAAAGGAAGCAUCAAUUCAAGGAAGAGAAUAGCAAGAACAAGAGACCCAUUGUCUCUUAUCCACCGACUUUGUUGCCCCACAGUUUGAAACAACAUAUCGUUGAAAAAUUGGGUGGAUCCGAUUGUGUUUUGGUGAUGUAAAAGAAAUUAU
rnacentral:lncRNA from 1 species